CGUAGAUCCACGAGUGUUUUCACGACGCUCUUAAGCUACGAUGGUUUCGGGAAACAGUCGGCAAAUCUUAAGACCUUUCGUAAGAUGGACUUUACGAUGCUCUUAGGCUUACGAUGCUUUCAGGGAACUGGGCCCAGUGCUUUAGUUACAGAAUGACUAUAACUGUA